UCCAUUCCCACCCCGCAGCCUCCCGAUUCUUCUCCACCUUCCACCGCCGGGCGCCGUCCCCCGCAACUCCGUCGGCCUCCUUCCCCCGCUCAGGCCGCCUCCCUUCCCAGCUCCGGUCGCCUCCCUCCCCAGCGCCGGCCUCCUUCCUCCCUAGCGCCGGCCUCCUCCCUAGCGCGCCGCCGGCCGGACUCCCUCCCAGCGUGCCGCCAACCGACCUCCUCCCAACGCGCCUCCGGUCGGUCUCGCCUCAAGCGCACCGCCGCGACGGCCCUCGCCGCCACCACCACCUCCCACCGCCACCAGCACCACAUCCUCAUCCCCGUGAGCCCACGCCCGUCACUCCCCACGAAUUCCGCCGCCUCCCUCCCUCCUACACCGGCGCCGCCCUUACCUCAUACCGGCAGCCGCCCUCCCUCGCGCGCCGGCCUCCUCCACCCCCCACGCUCAGGACGCCUUCCUUCCUGCGCUCUGGUCGCCUUCCUCCUCGUGCGCCGGCCUCCUCCCUACCCCGUGCUCUGUCUGCCUUUCUUCCCGCUCUCCGGUCAUCUUCCUCCCCGCACUCCGGCCGCCUUCCUCCCCUCGUUCCGGCCUCCUUCCUCCCUGCAAUCAGUUUGCCUCCCUCCCCACGCUCCGUCCACCUUCCUCCCCGAGAUCCGUCCGCCUUCUCCCCUGAGAUCCCACGGCCGUACCGCCGUCGUCCAACCCCUCCAUCUGUAAGUAAGGGCACUAGGCCGCCCUCCACGCCGGGGUGGCCCUGCUAGCCAUCAGCGGGGGAAGCGGAGUGGCUACCAUGGCGGGGCUGGAGACGAGUUCGUCCUGGGCGUGCGCAUCCUCGGGAAGUCCAUCUGCAAUAUGGGCACCUCGCAGAGACCUCAUAGUGCUCGUCCCAGACUACUCUCUGAAGCCACUCGAGGUGAAGAAUACACGGUAGGAUCUGCCCCAGCAAACCACAUGUUGCCGGAGGCGCUCUGCCUCUCCUAUGCACCCCCUGCUUCGAUCUCCCUCCACUGCCGCCCUCCCCCCUCCAUAGUUCUUGGCACCGCUGUGGCCCCGCACUGGAUCGACGCGCCGCUAUCGCUCUGCCGCCGCGUAUAGAGAGUUCAAUGCCGCAACCCUUGUCCAUUCAAUCUCGCCGCCAUGGGCGUGCCCCACUCCAACUCCCUCGCAUGUGCUUCCGUGGCGAAACAGUGCAACCUGCAGGAGGAACCGUGAGGGGUCCAGGACGUCCAUCUCGGCAGUCCAACUCGGCAUGAUUCACGUCAUCGUUGGCCCCAUGUUCGCUGGCAAGACCACCGCGCUUCUCCGCCGGCACCGGCAGGAAAAUUGGGCUGGGAGUCGACAAGCUGGGCAAAAUGUGUUGCUACUUCUACAAUAUCAAAGAUGAUGACAUUCUGGUCUUGCUCGUCGAGGACCCAAUCACAGGGCUGUCUGUCGCUGCCGCAAUGCAUUAGGAAAAGUUCAAGUUUCCUAUUAGAUUUAGUUCUAUUGGAAAAGGGCUGCCCUCACCGCGCUUAUCCCCGUUGCCGGAGGGCCGGCGUGCAGGGGUUGGGCCACAGCCGACACUUCCGUUCGUGCCCUACCACUGCUCAAUCUUCUCGCCUAACCCCCUUCCUCCCCGAUCUGCUACUGAUGUACCCCAACUACCACUGGAGCUUCGGGGAGCACUCCUCUGUCCAAGUUGAGCAUUGGGCGCCGUCCGAGUAGAGCACUGCACCCCGUCCAAGUCCCAUCUAAUGUUGAACGUUCAAUUUUGUCAUGUUGAAUAAUAUAGCGCUGAGCACCCUACAAUUUUUUUUGCU